GGGGGGGGGGGGGGGGGGGGGUGGGGCAUGGAGGUGGGGGGGGGGCACAGUAGGAGCUUGCUGGUACGGGUGGCGAGUGGCGGACGGGGGGGGAAUACGUCGGAAUCUACUUUUUCGUGGGGGAUAGCGUGGGUAAACAUACGCUAAUACCGCAUACGACCUACGGGUGAAAGCAGGUGAUCUUCGUACCUUGCUCGAGUCAAUGAGACGAUGUCGGAUUAGCUAGUUGGCGGGGUAAAGGCCCACCAAGGCGACGAUCCGUAGCUGGUCUGAGAGGAUGAUCAGCCACACUGGAACUGAGACACGGUCCAGACUCCUACGGGAGGCAGCAGUGGGGAAUAUUGGACAAUGGGCGCAAGCCUGAUCCAGCCAUACCGCGUGGGUGAAGAAGGCCUUCGGGUUGUAAAGCCCUUUUGUUGGGAAAGAAAAGCAGCAGGUUAAUACCCCGCUGUUCUGACGGUACCCAAAGAAUAAGCACCGGCUAACUUCGUG
rnacentral:rRNA from 1 species